rnacentral:rRNA from 1 species
UACGAAGGGGGCUAGCGUUGUUCGGAAUCACUGGGCGUAAAGCGCACGUAGGCGGACUUUUAAGUCAGGGGUGAAAUCCCAAGGCUCAACCUUGGAACUGCCUUUGAUACUGGAAGUCUUGAGUUCGGAAGAGGUGAGUGGAACUGCGAGUGUAGAGGUGAAAUUCGUAGAUAUUCGCAAGAACACCAGUGGCGAAGGCGGCUCACUGGUCCGAUACUGACGCUGAGGUGCGAAAGCGUGGGGAGCAAACAGG